AUUGAACGCUGGCGGCAGGCCUAACACAUGCAAGUCGCGCGGCGCGUCGGACGGGUGAGUAAUGCCUAGGAGUCUGCCUGGUAGUGGGUGGUAACGUCCGGAAACGGGCGCUACUACCACAUACUAUCAGCAGCGCCUAGGUCGGAGUAGCUAGUUGGUGGGGUAAAGGCCUCGCCAGGCGACGAUCCGUAACUGGUCUGAGGGGAUGAUCAGUCACACUGAAAGUGAGACACUGUCCAGAAUCCUACGUGAGGCAGCAGUGGGGAAUAGUGGACAAUGGGCGCAAGUCUGAUCCAGCCAUGCCGCGUGUGUGAAGAAGGUCUUGGGAUUGUAAAGCCCUCUAAGGUGGUAGGCGUUACCAACAGAAUAAGCACCGGCUAACUUCGUGCCAGCCGCCGCGGUAAUAC
rnacentral:rRNA from 1 species